rnacentral:lncRNA from 1 species
UUUUUAUGGACCCUAUGCAAGUUCAACUUUUAUAAAAACAAUUAUAAUAGUUUUGUUAAGGACUUUAAUGUUUCUGAGAAAAGUCUAAAUUUUAACUAAAAAUUUGCAAAAAAAUUUUGGACACGGUGCAAAUGCACUUCCUGCACUUGCUAUAAGCCGGACCUGUUUAUUAUGCAUCAUCACACUUGUAGAAGGCGAUAAGGAUGUGGUUAAUCCUAGUUUUAGGUUUAUCUGAGUUUUAUAUUUUUUAAUCUCUUAAAAAUACUGCAAAUGCGAUUUUACAACUGAUACAGAGAAAGUCUAUUGUUUAUUACUUCUCUCCAUUAGUCCAGAAACACCAAGUUUUUUUUUAUUCUGAGAAGAAGAAAAACUCAUUCAACAAGUUUUUUAAGUCAUGGCUCUCUGUUCUCCAACUAACCCACAUUUUUUCCAACCUCUUCUUCCCGGUUUCACUAAGCACCUCGUAUACUCUCUGUUUCCCUAUCCCUAUUUGACCAAAAUGGUUCUGUUUCUAACUCUCGUGCGUGGUGUUUCAGGACAUUCCUGUGGCAUUCUUUUUGAAGCACUUAGAUAAAAGUAACAAAGGCAAAACGGCAAAGCUGAGAUCAGACACAUCCGAGACGACCUGGAACGUGAAGCUUGACGGCCGGAGAUUCUCUGACGGUUGGGAAUAUUUCGCCGUCGCUCAUGAUCUCCGAGUUGGUGACAUUGUUGUUUUCAGACACGAAGGAGAGUUAGCGUUCCAUGUCACAGCUUUAGGACCAAGUUGUUGUGAGAUUCAAUAUGGAGAAGAUAGCCAAGAAGAGGACAAAAGUGGUAAACUUCAGUUUUAUAUUCGGUUUUAUUGCCAUAUUUAGAUUGAGUCCAUUUACUUCUCAACAGAGGAGCUUUGUGAUGCUAUGGAGGAGAUUUCAAGAAAGAAGAAGAGACCAAAGACAGAAAUAGAUUUUUCAAAAGACCAAUCUUGUUUUGUUAUUACAGUCACGCCAUCAAAUCUAAGGCGUGAUACAGUGGUUAUUUUACUUCCUUAUUACUCCUUAAUAUAUAAAGUAAUUUUGAGAUAUUUAACUUUUGACGGAUAUUAAAACUUGUGGAUGUAUUAUUGCAGUAUCUUCCGAAAGCCUUUGCAGUGGUAAAUUGUCUGAUGAAGAAAUUUGAGAUUGUUUUAGUGAAUGAAGAACGAGAAUCAUGGAAGUUAAACUUGAGACAAGAUUCAUAUUUAGGCCGGUUUUACAUGAGCAAUGGCUGGAGAAGUUUCUGUGUUGCUAACGGGAAGAAACCUGGAGACAUGUUCACAUUUAAAAUGCUCCAAAAUGAAACAACACCUGUGCUCAAAUUGUUACCGUGGAACAAUGAAGAUCUGCAUAACCCUGGUAAGUUGAUUUUCCUAUACCUUUGUUAAUUUAUUAUCAGAGGCCCGUUUCAUUGUUUUUAUGGACCCUAUGCAAGUUCAACUUUUAUAAAAACAAUUAUAAUAGUUUUGUUAAGGACUUUAAUGUUUCUGAGAAAAGUCUAAAUUUUAACUAAAAAUUUGCAAAAAAAUUUUGGACACGGUGCAAAUGCACUUCCUGCACUUGCUAUAAGCCGGACCUGUUUAUUAUGCAUCAUCACACUUGUAGAAGGCGAUAAGGAU